UACGUAGGGAGCAAGCGUUGUCCGGAAUCAUUGGGCGUAAAGCGCGCGUAGGUGGCCCCAUAAGUCCGCUGUGAAAGUCAAAGGCUCAACCUUUGAAAGCCGGUGGAUACUGUGGGACUAGAGUACGGAAGAGGCGAGUGGAAUUCCUGGUGUAGCGGUGGAAUGCGCAGAUAUCAGGAGGAACACCUGCGGUGUAGACGGCUUACUGGACGGUAACUGACGCUGAGGCACGAAAGCGUGGGUAGCAAACAGG
rnacentral:rRNA from 1 species